CUCCGGCACCCCCGGUCCAGGAAGAGUGUAAACACGCGCGCUCCGGAAAGCGUCCUCCAGCGGGAGGUUGCCUAGGGGAUGGUUGAGCUGUGUAAGGCUCCCAGCUAGAGAGAAAAGCUCUGUGCCUAUAUGUCUACAUUUUGCUUUGUCGUGAUGAGCUGCACAGACCCACGCAGAGCUGACUUGGGUAUUUACCCCGGUUCCCACCUCUCAAGUUGCUAACAGUUGAAACCCAUUUCUAACGCUUGAUUAGCAUUCAUUUUCUAGAGAAACCUCCCCCUCCCCCUCGAACACCUGUCCUAAGGACUGUACGCCGGGCCAGGUGGAGGACGGAUGCAGCGCAGCCGCCUCUUACAAAGUGGUUAAGAGGUUAAAAAAGAAGAUUUUUAAAAGUCUACUGGAAAAAGAAUGAGUGUUUCAAGUUCAAAGAAAAUAGUCAAUGCAGAAAAUAUUUGCAUAGAAUUACACGGUGGGGAAAUUCUGCCACGCAGUCAGUCUUUGCUUAGAGAGACCUCCUGAGCUCAAUUUCAGGAAGCAAGUCUUCGAAUAGCCUGUGAAAGCAAGAGGGAAACAGUGUUGAUGCGACAGAAUUCUCCGGAACCCAUUCUCCUGCUGCUGUGAGUCUGGCUGCUAACAGUUCACAGCUAUACCCGUCCCUGGAGAACAUUCUUUGGCCAAUGGGAACUGUCUCACCUGAAGAAGGCCUAGGAGGUUUCACCCCCUCCCUUGGGUGGCCUGCAGCCACAGCUGGACUGAUCUGGAGAUAUAUACCAAGGAGUGGAAUUGGUGGAUCCAGUGGUUCUUCUAUUUUCAGUUUUUUGAGAAACCUCCAAAUUGUUUACCACAGUGGUGGUACCAAUUUACAUUCCCACCAACAAUGUACCAGGGUGCCCUUUUCCUCUACAUCCAUACCAACAUUUUUAACUGUAGACUUCAUAAUGACAGAAAUUCUGACAGGAAGAGAAAUAGAGGGCAGUGGAGCCAGAAAAUGCUUGAUUUCUGGAAGAUGGUGGAACUUAGGCAAGAGAUAUAUUGGCAGGAAAGUUUGAAUAAAAGUGCCAAGAAUAAAGAUGUCAAAUAAGGUUCUUUGUGACAGAGAACAUGAUUUCACAGGGAUUUCAGACAAUUUCAUAGAGGAUAAUGAUAACAUAGAGAAAUAGAAAUCUUUUUCUUCUUGCUGCUUAAAAAAUUUUUUUUAUGUCAUGGCUUUCAGCCCUAUCACUGUAAUGUUUCUAGAUAACUUGGAUCUUAUAUUACUCACAAUUGAACUCUCAGGACCACAGUGAGAAAUCCAAAUACAAGGCCAGCUAGUAAACCGAGGUCCAAUCCCAGAAUGAUGGAUGCUAUGCACGUAAAUACCCAGAUAACCUAGGAAAACAUGAAAAUGAAAAAUGCUAAUUCAUCGGGUACCAUGAGAUGGAUAUGACCACACCGCCGCCCCAUACCUGUGUCUUUCCCCCAGUACUCUCCUGGACAGCGGUGCGGGACAGGGCAGUGGUAGCCACAAAGCAAGAGAAUAAUCCAGAGAAGAUGUUGCUGAUUCCAAAGGCGAUGAAUUCCUGAGAGAGAGAGAAUGAAUGGUAGUGAUGCUACAAAUUAAAUCUUUGGAAGACUCUCGUCAAGCAAAGAGCAUUAAGAAAGCAAACUCCCAAGCCCAGCCUGCCUGAGAGUCCCAGUUUAAUUCUUACCAUUAAAGGUGCUUGGAGACCUUGAAAGACACGUGGAAUCUGGGCUCCAUAAAGCCUAAGAGAGGCUUCACUGCUCUCAACUGUUCUGAAAGAUUGACUUAUCUUUUGCUGAAAUGCUUUAUCUUACUUCCUGCAACCCCUAAUAGAGGCAGCAUGCUCCCCAAGCAGAGAGAGUGGCAGCACCACGCUCCUUCCUGGGGAAACUACACUCAGCAUCUCAGCAUCUCAGCAUCUCAGCAUGGAGCUGCCAUUGCUCUGAACUGUGUUUGUAAGCACCUGUUGAUCUCAGUGUAUUUUGUGCAUCUGUUUGCAAGAUGUGUCUUAAGAUAUUUAAUAAAAUAUGGAUAUAUAAACAACAAAAUAUAUUUUUAAAAUGAAGUGAUACAGCAAGCAUAUUUCAAAAUAACUUCAAAUUAGCACAUGCAGGAGAGAAACCAACUCAGUAAAGAUGGAUGGGAGAAACCACUCCCUUCUUUAACAGACAGCAAAGUCUUUCCCACAUUUUCUUCUUAGUUUCAGUCCUACAACCAGUUCAGCAAAAGGGUGACCAUACCUGGUU